GCUAGGCCCAGAGUGGGCACUUCAUGAACAGUGACCACUUUGAUUCCUACCACCUGCACUUAACUUUUCAGACUGUCAGAUGGGGAAAAUGAGGGGGAAAAUGAGAAGUCGUGGAUCAGGGGCAGGCUCCAGGAGACCUUCUCAGUAGGAAGUUUGGGUGAAAGAUGCGCAGGAGGGAGCAAUAUACACAAGCAACUCCAAAGAUUCCAGCUUCCCACCUCACAGAGAGCUCCUGGAUCAGCUUCUGGACUAUGAGAUGGAAUGAGGUUCCUCCAAUGAGAUGUGGUUGACCUUGGAGCCCAGGGACUAUGUCCUAUGCGGAACCCCCACUCAAGCUGAUAGACCCAUCCUGCUAGACACACAUCUCUUGCCCACUGGAAGAGUCCUUGGAGAUCUCAGAGGUCUCGAGCUUGCCACACAGCCCAGAGGGACACCCGAGGAACAUUCCAGCAGGAUCCAGAAAGAAGGAACAUGGAGAGAGCCACCAUAGACUCAGAAGCUUCCAGAGAAAGAAGGUAUCUUCAGGAAACCCCUAGAGCAAUUCCAGCAGCUAGGAAGCCUUGGGAGAUCCUAGGAGCAGGGUCUGAGCAGAGCCCAAGCCCCAGGUGGACCACAGCCCUGUCAAGAUACAAACAAGCCUCCCUGCCUGGCAAACUCAUCUAAAAGGAACCCAGUGGUAAAGGAGGUGGAAAUUCGGAUCUGCCUGCAUAUACCCAAACCUGAUCAUUAAAACAACCCCAGCUUGCCCCCAAAUGAAAUCCUCUUUCUGACAGGCCUGUGUGCAGGAUUCCUUUGCAUUUGGGUACACUUCUCUCACAUAAAUUGGCAGGAAACAAA